UCCAGGAAGAGGAAGAAUGACAGGAUUCAAGAGUAGUAUAAAUGGGAACAUUGAGACAAAACAUGAGCUUUCUAGAUUUCCUCUCCUAACGAAGAAGAGAUCUAGUUUCUUGUUUUUCCAAUGUCUCACAUUCUAUUGUUCUUGGCUGCUCCUUCCCCUUCCUUUUGGCU
rnacentral:pre_miRNA from 1 species